rnacentral:rRNA from 1 species
GGGGGGGGCAAGCGUUGUUCGGAAUUACUGGGCGUAAAGGGCGCGCAGGCGGCCUGGCAAGUCCUACGUGAAAUCCCACAGCUCAACUGUGGAACUGCGUGGGAUACUGCCAGGCUUGAGUCCGGGAGAGGAGAGUGGAAUUCCCAGUGUAGCGGUGAAAUGCGUAGAUAUUGGGAGGAACACCGGUGGCGAAGGCGGCUCUCUGGACCGGUACUGACGCUGAGGCGCGAAAGCUAGGGGAGCAAACGGGGAUUAGAUACCCCGGUAGUCCUAGCCGUAAACUUUGAGCACUUUGUGUGGCGGGUAUCGACCCCUGCCGUGCAGAAGCUAACGCAUUAAGUGCUCCGCCUGGGGAUACGGUCGCAAGGCUG